rnacentral:rRNA from 1 species
UACAGAGGGUGCGAGCGUUAAUCGGAAUUACUGGGCGUAAAGCGUGCGCAGGCGGUCUUUUAAGUCAGAUGUGAAAUCCCCGGGCUUAACCUGGGAACUGCAUUCGAGACUGCAUUGCUAGAGUAUGGGAGAGGGAAGUGGAAUUUCCGGUGUAGCGGUGAAAUGCGUAGAUAUCGGAAGGAACAUCAGUGGCGAAAGCGACUUCCUGGACCAAUACUGACGCUCAUGUGCGAAAGCGUGGGGAGCAAACAGG